UACAGAGGUCCCAAGCGUUGUUCGGAUUCACUGGGCGUAAAGGGUGCGUAGGCGGGCGGGUAAGUCUGAUGUGAAAUCUCACAGCUUAACUGUGAAACUGCAUUGGAUACUAUUCGGCUUGAGAGUUGGAGGGGGGACUGGAAUUCUUGGUGUAGCAGUGAAAUGCGUAGAUAUCAAGAGGAACACCAGUGGCGAAGGCGAGUCCCUGGACAACUUCUGACGCUGAGGCACGAAAGCUAGGGGAGCAAACAGG
rnacentral:rRNA from 1 species